rnacentral:lncRNA from 1 species
GGACCAAAAACAAGCUCUAUGCUUAUGGAGCAAUUCUCCACCCAUUUUACAAAGGACUCACACUUGCCCAACAUGAAAGUUCAAAUUACAGGGAAAUGAUUGAGCUGAUGAUAAAGGAGAAUGAAGUUGAGCUAGUACGUGACUUGAAUCACUGAAUUUUUGAGGAAGUUGAUGAGGAAGACUACAGCAUUGAAGCUAAGAUUAGAGCUAAAAUGAGGUCUUCUCAGUCAAGCCAGCAUACCCGGUCACUGUUUGAGGCAGCCAUUAGCCCCAUGCAGUUGGAAAUGAACAGGUACCUCAACUUAACAAAUCCUCCUCCAACCGAUGUUGAUGUACUACAAUGGUGGAGAAGACAUCAUCGGGAGUAUCCUCUUAUUGCCAAGUGUGCCAGAAAAUACCUUUGUGUUCAGGUGUCCGAAAAAGACCUUACGGUCUUGUCACAGAGUACCGCGAAAUAGCAUUAAAAUAGGAAGUUCACACC